AUUCUUAACACUGAUUUUGCAUUAUCCCAGGAGAUGACGACAUCCCCUGAUCCCUUCUCUCUUGGCCCUCAUCCUCACUGCAGGUUGUUGAGAAGAAGAGUUGAUAUUUGUAAGGCAUAAGGUGCUUAGAAGAGUGACUGACACAUAAUAAGCAUUUAGUCCGAGUGCUCUAAAAAGAAGAGGAUGGUGGGAUAAGACAAACAGAGACCCCUGGGGCUUUGAGCUGGAUAGAGUCCAUCCUGCAACUGGUUUGGCAGGUCCCGAUAUCCCAGUAAGCUGCACAGAAGAUGAGAGAACGUGAUAUCUGAAACCUGUCAUGCAGAAAGGGCGCUACAGAGGUGAAAGAAGCUUUGAUGUUUUAUCAUUUUAAUUUUAUUAUUUAAUGUUCAGGUAAUACCUGAAAGAUGUUCUGAAAGCUAUUAAAGG
rnacentral:lncRNA from 1 species